GUGGGGAAUAUUGGACAAUGGGCGAAAGCCUGAUCCAGCAAUGCCGCGUGAGUGAAGAAGGCCUUCGGGUUGUAAAGCUCUUUUACCCGGGAAGAUAAUGACUGUACCGGGAGAAUAAGCCCCGGCUAACUCCGUGCCAGCAGCCGCGGUAAUACGGAGGGGGCUAGCGUUGUUCGGACUUACUGGGCGUAAAGCGCACGUAGGCGGUCUUUUAAGUCAGAGGUGAAAGCCCGGGGCUCAACUCCGGAAUUGCCUUUGAAACUGGAAGACUUGAACACGGGAGAGGGGAGUGGAAUUCCGAGUGUAGAGGUGAAAUUCGUAGAUAUUCGGAGGAACACCAGUGGCGAAGGCGGCUCACUGGACCGUUGUUGACGCUGAGGUGCGAAAGCGUGGGGAGCAAACAGGAUUAGAUACCCUAGUAGUCC
rnacentral:rRNA from 1 species